UUGUUCGGAUUCAUUGGGCGUAAAGGGUGUGUAGGUGGCGCCGUAAGUCGGGUGUGAAAUCUCGGGGCUUAACUCCGAAACUGCAUUCGAUACUGCGGUGCUUGAGGACUGGAGAGGAGACUGGAAUUCAUGGUGUAGCAGUGAAAUGCGUAGAGAUCAUGAGGAAGACCAGUGGCGAAGGCGGGUCUCUGGACAGUUCCUGACACUGAGACACGAAGGCCAGGGGAGCAAACGGG
rnacentral:rRNA from 1 species